rnacentral:misc_RNA from 1 species
AACUUUUAACAAUGGAUCACUUGGCUCUCGCAUCGAUGAAGAACGCAGCGAUAUGCGAUAAGUAAUGUGAAUUGCAGAAUUCAGUGAAUCAUCGAAUCUUUGAACGCACCUUGCACCCUUUGGUAUUCCGAAGGGUAUGCUCGUUUGAGUGUCAUUGUACUCUCACACUCUCUGAUCCUUUGGAUUCAGGGAGCGGUGGACUUGGGUGUUUGCUGCUUUCCUAGUGGCUCACCUCAAAUGCGUCAGUGCACCUCUUGGUUGGACAUAGUACGGCGUGAUAAGUAUCUUCGCCGGCACCUCGCGAGAGGGUGGCUGAUCGGGAGCUCUGUGCUUUCAAACCGUCUUCGGACAAUCUCUGACAACUUGACCUCAAAUCGAGUAGGACUACCCGCUGAACUUAAGCAUAUCAAUAAGCGGAGGC